UACGUAGGGGGCGAGCGUUGUCCGAAGUUACUGGGCGUAAAGCGCGCGUAGGCGGCCACUUAAGUCUGGGGUGAAAGGUUCAGCGCUCAACGCGAACAGUGCCUUGGAUACUGGGUGGCUUGAAUCCGGGAGAGGGAUGUGGAAUUCCAGGCGUAGCGGUGAAAUGCGUAGAUAUCUGGAGGAACACCGGUGGCGAAGGCGGGUCUCUGGGCCGAUACUGACGCUGAGGAGCGAAAGCGUGGGGAGCGAACAGG
rnacentral:rRNA from 1 species